rnacentral:rRNA from 1 species
UACGUAGGGGGCAAGCGUUGUCCGGAAUCAUUGGGCGUAAAGAGCGUGUAGGCGGCCCGAUAAGUCCGCUGUGAAAGUCCAGGGCUCAACCCUGGAAUGCCGGUGGAUACUGUCGGGCUCGAAUCCGGAAGAGGUGAGUGGAAUUCCGUGGUGUAGCGGUGAAAUGCGCAGAUAUCGAGGAGAACAAGCAUAGGCGAAGGCAGCUGCAGCUGGGACGGUAUUGACGCUGGAGA